rnacentral:rRNA from 1 species
UACAGAGGUGCCAAGCGUUAGGCGGAAUCACUGGGCUUAAAGCGCGUGUAGGUGGGUCGUUAAGUGUCCGCGUGAAAUCCCACGGCUCAACCGUGGAACUGCCGGGCAUACUGGCGAUCUUGAGGCAUUCAGGGGCGAGCGGAACAAGUGGUGGAGCGGUGAAAUGCGUAGAUACCAGGAGGAACACCGGUGGCGAAGGCGGGUCUCUGGGCCGUAACUGACGCUGAGGAGCGAAAGCGUGGGGAGCGAACAGG